AUCUUUGUGUUAUAUAGUGUGUUGUCCCGAUUAAUUUCUCCAUUUUAAUUUUCAUAUUUUUUUUGUUGUCUCUUCUGUCUUUGCUGUUUUUCAUAAUUGUGUUUCUAGGCUUAUUUUUGGAAUGGCUCAUUUUAGAGAAUAAGCUUCUUGAUUGUGCCUUUUGCUUUAUUAUAUUGUUUUGGCAAUGAUAUUGAUAUAGUAAUAGCAUAGGCAAUUGGAUAUCCUUUUGAAGAAUACUUCACACGUAAAUUGGAUGUUGCAAUGUUAGUUGUAGAGUUUUUUGACAAAUAUUUUGCCAGUUAAAAUCCAAAGACCAUAUCCAAUGUUUUGGAAAUAUAUAUGGUGAAUGUGCACCUAUCCCCUAUUUACUAUGCUAAUUUAACUUAAAGUUUUUUGGUCUUGUAAGAAAACAAAUGCAAAGAGAAAAAUGAAAAGGAAGCAUAACUAGAUUUUAAUGGUGUAAAUCAUGGUUGUAUUGUAGCUGAGUGGACUUUAUUUAGCACAAAUCAUAGUUGGGUCUUAUGACAAUGUUUUACAAUCUUACAAUUGAAUUGAUAUUGUAUCUGUUACCUGUAUAAUGCUGAUCAUACUUGUUCAAUCACAUUCUGACAAGUACACCUUGAUUCAUACCUCCAGCUAUAUGAAAAAAAUUCUGGAAUUGUUUUUGAACAAUUUUCUUUUAAAUAUUUGGAUACCAGGAAUACUCUAUCUAAUUAUAUUGUUGGAUGUUUUCACUUGUGAAUGUGAACAGGCUGGUAUCGUGAAGAAGGAUCAUAUCAAGAUUCAUGGUUUCUGAGCGAUUGGAGUCUCAAGUGGCAAGCCUUAUCUGCCUGACUAUGUGUUAGGCAUAAUAGAUAGAUAAUCGGAGUUGUGUAUGUGAUUGUGGUAUUUCUGAUCUGUUCUUAUGUUUUACUAUGUGAUGUGGGAUUAUGGAUUUCAGAACAUUGCGUGUUAUUUGCUUUGAAGACAAAUAUGAAAACAGUUCAAUGGACCUCCUAUUCGAUCUUAUUUCAUUUAGAAUUUAAUAAUAAUUAAAAAAAAACUGUAACUUUUAAGGCUCGAGCUCUUGUAAGUUGUCGCUUCAAAAUACCCCUUUUGAAAGAGAUUCAAACGAACUAUAAGAUUAUUGCUAAUUUCAGGGCACAAAUUCGAUUUUCAUUUUACACUCACGUCAUUAUUAGGUAUUUGAGCAUUUGAAAAUUUCUUUAGAAGGUGGCUUUAGAGAUCUUUUGCAUCAAGUUUAUUGUUAUUUCCCAGCAUUAAAAUAAGGAACUUGGAAAUAUUACGUGGAAAGUGUUUAUCGAUAUAAUUUGUACCUUAACACUGUAAAUUAAGUCUAGAAGUGUAAUCAGAAUCCUAGCUGACUAAUCAAAUGCCCAUCUAGAUUGGUGUUCUAUUUAGUAUGGUAAUUCAUUGAUAGUGGACUACCUGGUCGUCAAGAAGUUCUUUUAUAGAUAAUGCGGGUAAAAAGUUGGUUUUAUUGAGUUAUUCCUCUUGAAAGUUACCAGUAACUCAUUGAUAUGGACUAACUGAUUGCCAAGAACUUCUUUGCAAGAUAAAUCGGGUAAAUAAAUUAAAAUGGUUUUAUUGAGACAAUUGCUCUUGAAGAAAAUAGAGAUAUGCUCAAAAUUUUAAGACGUUUUUGUAUUUAAUGUAACACUUUGUUAUAUAAGUGAGAAAUGUAAAAUUAUUCAUCAAUUUGAUCGGCUAAUUUAAUUUCUUCUAAGAAAAUUGAAGAAUUUAAAGUUGUACAUCCUUCGGGUUGGAUCUCCAUCUGAACCGAUCCACAUCGAUACUAAUUUGUCUAUAAUCAUAUUGUGAUAUAGUUGGGAUUGAAUACUCUAAUAUAUUUGGAGAACAGGAUUUUAACACGUCUUGAUAUAUGUAACAACCCUCAACCUUUGAAUAUUGAGAGGAUGAAGGAAUCUAGACAAACGAACUAACAUAUAAGAUCUAAUUGUAACCAAAGAAGACAUGUUAAGCAAUACAUUUCACUUGAAUGUUCUCGACUAGGUCAUCUCCAUAUAUGAGGAAGUUUAUCCUAAAACAUUUUGAUACCCACCAUGGGCCUCAACGAAGUGUUUCCUGAUGCCCUUUGUUUGCUUUGUAUCUAGAUGAGAUUGGUGAUGGUGAGGCCAACGAUGGAGGAGCCAAGGAGGUGAUGGAGGAGUUGAGGAGGUGAUGUAGGAGUUGCAAACAAUGAAGGAACAUCAUGAGGAUUCAAGGAGAAUUUCUCUUGAGGCAUUGCAAGCAAACUAAGUGUUGCAGGUUCCAAAGGAGGAGAUCAAGAGGAGGACAUAUGAGGCCUAAAGGAUGUUGAGAAGCCCUGAGGGUGAGACUAUGGUCAAGCCCCCAAGUGAAUUUUUAGUCCUUCGUGGAGGCAAUCGUAGCUAAAUAGAUCCCCUAACACUACCUGCUUCCCACAGUCACUUGUUAUUAUUGUUCAAAACAUAAUUAAACUAAGCAUAAAAUCUAAAAUUGACCCAAAAAAUUGAAAAUCGCAUAAAAACCAAUGACCAUUGGUUUGGUUUAGUUUUAUAAUUUUCCAAAUUGCGCGGUUUGACAUGCGUAAACAGAAAAAAACCAAAUUGCAUUGUAAACACGCCUAGAAACUAUUGUUGCAAUUAGUGUUUUAUUGUUUAAUAUCUACUUUCUAAGUUUUCAUGGUUGAAAGCAAGUAUUAUGAAUGUUGUUUUUAUUGUUUUUUCUAUCUUCAAUUGUUGAAACUUAGAAGCAAGUAUUAUGUGUUGUUUUUACUUUUAUGUUGAAUGAUUAUUUUUAAGUAUUAUUCAACUUGAAAACGAUAACUAUUUUACUUUAAGUUCACUUGUUAGAAACUUUUGUUAUUGAUUUAUAUUGUUGAUUGUUAAACUAGUUAUUAAUCAAGUUUUGUUUAAUUAAUAACAAAAAUUUUAAACAUUUUUAAUACCUACAAGAAGUAUUUUCAAAUUGAAAAAAUUGAGUCAAACCAAAUCACAAAAAAAUGGUUUGGUUUGGAUUUCAUAAAUAAUUUAAACCAAACCAAAUCAUACCACACUUAAUUUUCUUAUUUGGUUCAUACUAAUUUGAAGUCAAAAUUGCAUCAAGUCGCAUUGCAAACAUCCCUAAAGGUUAUGAUGGUACCUAGGAUCCUGUUAAACAUGUGAAGAAUUUUCAAGCUCAUAAGUGGAAAAAGAGAUGCAAUGGGAUGCAAGAUGUUCGUCGAGGAAGAGUUGUGGAUCGUGGAUGAUGUCAGUUUCAAUGGAGACACGACAAAUUCACCGUCGUAGAUGUCGUGGUGGCCUUCGUCGCUAAUGACAGUGACGACGACAUUACCUUUUCACCCAUUCAUCACACUCUACUUCUUGAACUCAAUGAACAAAUAUAAUAGCCGACUCACCUUCAACAUCUUUGUUCCUAAGAAACGCUCCACAAACUUCAUAACUGAAUCAAACACGGUUUUGGUUUUGCAAAAAAACAAAAAACUAAAAUUGUGUGAUUAAACUCUGAUCUAGAAAUUAUGUGUUAAGAGUUAGUGAGGACCAAAGCUAUAAAUUAGAUUUGUAAAAGUGAGUGUUGCAAGAACGCAUUAAGAGUCUCUACAGGGUGAGUCAUAGCUUGAAAUUGGGUACUACAAGAAAGUUUGGGUAUCGCAAAGAGGAAAUGGUUUGCGGCAGGGGGCAAAAAGAUGGAGUUUUGAGAAGAAAAUGUGCAAUUAGUGUGGAUAAGAUCAAGAUCUGGACUCAAUACUAUCUUCCUCCAUUGAGGUUUAGACUUAGAUUUGGAACCAAAACCACCUUCAUUCGUUGAUUCGAUCCAAACACCAUCUUUAUCUUUUUCGAGCGAAACAAUGGCAACGAACCCAUUUGUGCCUUCAAAAUCUGACCUGAACCAAAACUUAAGUUUGGUGCCCUUUUCGUACUUCGAAGUCAUAAAUGAGUUAGAGAUAUUCUUCAACACCAACCACAAUGACAAGAUCUUUGCCGACAAGCUUGACAACAUGCUUCGAUUUCUCGAAACUGACAUCUUGUUGGAGGACCUCCACUACAUCAUGGACGACAUCAAAAUCAACUGCAACAACUUCUUCAGCCUCUUGCCACUGUGCGUGUUUGCAAAGUUCUAGAUGUCAAGGGUUGCGGUAUUAUGUUUCACAUAGAGAGUUAGGGUGCGUUUGAUUAGCUAAAAAAUAAGGGACUAUGAUGGAAGCUUGCUUGUGGGGCUUCUAUGGAGGCUGAAUCUUUGAGCUUCAUUGGGGUCCUUUAAUGGUGAUUUUCCACCAUGGAGAUGCAGCGGAAGACAAAGGAAAAGAGGUGAGAGGAGGCGCCAUCCAUUAAGGAAUAAGCCAUGGAAGAAGGAGCUUCACCACCAAGAUGAGCCUUGGAUAAGAAGCUUGGAGAGGAUGCUUCAAUGGAGGAAAAGAAAGAGGGAGAGAAAGAGAGAGGGGGAAGCACGAAAUUGAAGGAAGAAAAAGGGAGAGAAGUUGAACUCUGAGUUGUGUCUCACAAGACUCUCAUUCAUCAAAGUUACAACAAGUGUUACACAUGCUUCUAUUUAUAGACUAGGUAGCUUCCUUGAGAAGCUUUCUUGAGAAAACUUUCUUGAGAAGCUUCUUUGAGAAAACUUCCUUGAGAAGCUAGAGCUUAGCUACACACACCCCUCUAAUAACUAAGCUCACCUCCUUGAGAAGCUUCCUUGAGAAGAUUCCUAAAAAAGCUAGAGCUUAGUUACACACACCCCCUAUAAUAGCUAAGCUCACCCCCAUGCCAAAAUACAUGAAAAUAUAAAAAAAAAUCUCUAUUACAAAGAUUACUCAAAAUGCCCUGAAAUACAAGGCUAAAACCCUAUACUACUAGAAUGGCCAAAAUACAAGGCUCAAAAGAAGGAAAACCCAAUUCUAACAUUUACAAAGAAGAAUGGAUCCAACCUUGACCCAUGGGCUCAAAAAUCUACCCUAAGGUUCAUGAGAACCUUAGGGCCUUCUUUAGUAGCUCUAGCCCAAGCCUCUUGGAGUCUUCUAUCCAAUACCCUUGGGGGGUAGGAUUACAUCAGACUAGACAAUUCAAAAAAUAUUUGUCCAACAUUUGAUUUAAAAAAUGACUGAGGGAUAGGACAAAAUAAAGAAGGAUGGACUGGAUGAAUACCCAAAAACUUGUAACUCACUAAACUUCCAUACAACUUUUUGUCUAGUGUCUAACAAAAGUAAAAAUACAAUACUAUUCCUAUUUUUGACUUUUCAUUAUUUCACACCUUCUUUCUUAUUCCAUAUGCGCCUCAUUCUCCAAAUAUUAACAAGCUCAUCGCCCUCCUAUCCAUCAUCGUGCUGGAGCUCUCCCAAUUCGCCUCCACCAUACCCCUUAUCGUGGAUCUCUCAGACCACUCCUCCCUCUCCAUUCUCUUCGUCCCCAACACCUACCUCGCUGCCGACGACCACCACUUCUCCCCGACCACCUUCAUCGACGCCAAUCGCUACCACUUCCUCCUCCAAUUCCUUUCUUGGUCCGACCUUUGCGUCUUCCCCCUUGGCAAGCUCAUCACCACACUUCUUCAAAUCACCGCCCGUGCUACCAACAAUUUCAGUUUCGUGAACCUCAUCUGCGACUCUCAUUCUAAUGUCAUCUCAAUCCGGUUUCCCGCGACUCUUAAUCUAAUGUUUUCCAUUAAUGGACAUUAGCUAAUAUUUUUAAUGGAAAACAUAAAAAAUGACUAAAAGAAAACUCUUAAUAUAACUUAUUAAAAUAUAUAUUUUUUAAAUUUAUAAAAUGACAGUGAAAUAUAAUAAAUCAAUAGUAAUAUUUAAUUUAAUAAAAAUAUUUAAACAUAAAUCUUAUUAUUUUAAAAUUAAUUUUACAAAAUUAAUUUAUUUAAAAUCAAUUUUAUGAAUGCUGAUAUAAGUAUCGACUUUAUUCCCUGUUUUUCGGAUCAUAACACGUGACACGCGUGCUUCUUGCGAUAUCUUCACUAUUAAAUAUCUGUUCUUCCAACCAUAACCACACCACACCGAGUCGCAGAAAAAGAAAAAAGCGAUCAUAGUUUCACUUCGGCCUUAUCCAGUUUAGGGUUUCGGUUCUCUACCCUAUCUUUCACGUAUCGAAACCUUAAAUUUACGAUCAGGUAAUCUCCGAUCAUUUUUUCUCAGAUUUGAUUUAUCUUCCGCGCUAAUUUUAGGGUUCGACUUUCGCUUUGUCUCCCAUGAUCUAAGUUUGACUCAAUUUUCUUUUCUGCUUUUUUUCCCCGUUACCGUACAUUUUUUUUGGGGUUCGAUAUAUUUUUUAUCAGAUCUUUCAGCUAUAAAUCGUGUAUUUGUUGUUAGUGAAAAGUGUUUUUUUUUUCCUUUUCCUAAUUCAGUAUUUCAUUUUGAUUUAAGUGUACGAUGAUUUUUGAGUUAUGGGCUUUUUUUUUCUGUGAUAACUUUUUGACGGUGUGGUUGCUAGAUUGUCACCAUGAACUAUAUCAAUUUUAAGUCAAAACCUGUAAUCUAGGAAAGCAUUCUGUUUUAUGCUGCUGAGAUCUUUUGAAUGUAUCUAAAGUUGAAACUAAUUGUGGGAUUUUUUUAAUCGCUUUCAUUUUAAAUCAUUCAGUUGCAUUAUUUUUGGUGUUUUUAAUUUGAAGCAAAGGUAAUUAGGUAGGCAAUUUUUAAUACAUGGGAUGGUCAUUGCUGAUAUCUUCUUUCGUUUGGUGUGUUGAAGAUUGUUUUGAUGCGAUGAUUAAUGACACUGGUUUUGCUUUUGAAUUUUUGUAAAGUUUGCUAUUAUAGUAAUUCAAUUUAACUAACAUGUUGAUUUUAUUUUCAGGUCUGAGCAAUCUGGUUGGUAGAACCUUUGGUCUUAGUGAGUCAAGUUUUAUGUCUGAAUUAGACGAUCAAAUUCCUACUGCCUUCGGUAUGUUCUGAUCUUUCUCCAUGGAAUAAAUAUCAGUUGAUUAUAUAUGUAAUUAGCGUAGUGUGUUUUUUCUAAAUAUGUUUUCCUCUCUUAGUUCUUUGGGUUAUCUGUACUUGUAGAAUACGGUACCUAUUGUUUAACUUCACUAUGUCAAACUGCUCUAACUUUUAUGUUUUACUCUAGUAAUUUGUACCUUAUAGGUACUUAGUUAGUGUGAUUGAAUGUAAUAUAUAUUAUAUAUUAUAUAAUGUUUUUGCUGUCUGUCCUCAAUUUUUAGAUCCUUUUGCUGAUGCAAAUGCUGAUGACUCGGGUGCUGGGUCAAAGGAGUAUGUGCAUAUUCGUGUACAGCAGCGAAAUGGUAGGAAAAGCCUGACAACCGUUCAGGGAUUGAAAAAGGAAUUCAGCUAUAACAAGAUACUUAAAGACGUCAAGAAAGAGUUCUGUUGCAAUGGAACAGUUGUUCAGGACCCAGAACUAGGACAGGUCUGUGUUGUUGACAUCCUCCUAUUAAACAAUUAUCUAUCCCUUGUUGCUUAAUGUAGCACUUGUUUGUGGUUGUAGGUUAUUCAACUUCAAGGUGAUCAGAGGAAGAAUGUUUCUACCUUCCUAGUCCAGGUAACUAUAGUCUCAUGUUUGUGUUAUAUAGCGUCUUGUCCUGAUUAAUUUCUCCAUUUUAAUUUUCAUAUUUUUUUCUUGUCUUUUCUUGCUUUGCUAUUUUUCACAAUGGUGUUUCAUGGCUUAUUUUUGGAAUUACUCAUUUUGAGAAUAAGCUUCUCAAUUUGCCUUUUGCUCUGAUAAAGAGUGUAAAUUUUAUUUAACCUAAAAGUUUUUUGGUCAUGUAAGAAGAAAAAUGUAAACAGAAAAACGAAAAGGAAGAAUGUAAAAAGAAAAACGAAAAGCAAGCAACAGUAGAUUUUAAUGGUAUAAAUCAUGGUUGGAUUGUCGCUGAAUGAGUUUUGUUUAGCACAAAUCAUAGUUGGGUCUUAUCACAAUGUUUUGCAAUCUUAUAAUUUAAAUUGAUUGUAUCUGUUACCCUCUAGAAUGCUUGAUCAUACUUGUUCGAUGACAUUUUGAUAAGUACACCUUGAUGCAUACCUCCAGCGAUGUGAAAUCUAAUCUGGAAUUGUUUUUGAACAAUUUUCUUUGAAAUAUUUGGAUACCAGGAUCCUGUAUCUAAUUAUCUUGUUGGAUGUUUUCACUUGUGAAUGUGAACAGGCUGGUAUCGUGAAGAAGGAUCAUAUCAAGAUUCAUGGUUUCUGAGCGGUUGGAGUCUUAAGUGUCAAAUUUUACCUGCCUGACUAUGUGUUAGGCAUAAUAUAUAAUCUGAGUCGUGUGGAUGUGAUUGUGGUAUUUCUAAUGUGUUCUUAUGUUUUACCAUGUGAUGUGGGAUUAUGGAUUUCAG
rnacentral:lncRNA from 1 species